GACGAACGCUGGCGGCGUGCCUAAAAAAGGAAAGUCAAGCGAGGUUUUCCUGGUCCUUGCACUAGAAAAACUUAGCGCCGACCGGGGGGGAAACACGUAAAGAACCUGCCCCUUAGACGGGGACAACCAUGGGAAAGGUAACCAAAAACGGGAUAAAACCAUUAACUGAAGGGUGGAGGUUUAAAAGUGGGUUUGGCUAAAAUAAGGAGAUGCUUUUGCGUUGCAUUAGCUAGUUGGUGGGGUAAAGGCCUACCAAGGCGACGAUGCAUAGCCGACCUGAGAGGGUGAUCGGCCACACUGGGACUGAGACACGGCCCAGACUCCUACGGGAGGCAGCAGUAGGGAAUCUUCCGCAAUGGGCGAAAGCCUGACGGAGCAACGCCGCGUGAGUGAAGAAGGAUUUCGGUUCGUAAAGCUCUGUUGUUAGGGAAGAAUGAUUGUGUAGUAACUAUACACAGUAGAGACGGUACCUAACCAGAAAGCCACGGCUAACUACGUG
rnacentral:rRNA from 1 species